rnacentral:lncRNA from 1 species
AGUAAGCAAUCAUCAAACAUUUAAGGAAAGCUUCAAAUAUGAAAGAAAGAGACCAAAAUAGAAAAAAAUUAAAUUAAUUUUAAAAAAGCAGUUCAGAGUUUAUGAAGAAAAAAAGCACUGGCAAAAAGAACAUCCAUAAUUAUUUUCCGGAGAGAAAUAAGAAAACACAGUGCUUCCAUAAAACAAGAGCAAUAAAAGAGAAUAAUUCUGUCAGUAAGAAAAUUAAAAUAGCAUAAAUAAAAAUCUCAAGAGCAAUUUGAAGAUAAAGUCAAGAAAAUAUUUUAAAUGGCAGACCAAUGAGAGAAAAGAAAAAAAAAAAGAGCAUCAGCCAUGUUAUCCAAUAUUUCGAUAAUUUUUAAAGCACUACCUGAAAACAGAAAGAAGAAAUGGGAUAAUAUCAUUAAAUAUAUACACUUUAAAAAUUACUACAACUAGAGAACACAAAUCCAGAUUGAAAAAUCUGUUGAAGGCCCAACACAUGAAAAAGUCACAUACCCACCUCAAGGCACAUGAUUAUAAAAUUUUAGUACUUUGGAGGAAGUGGAUAUUCUGAAAGCAUUUAAGUGUAAGUUUAAAAAAGAAAACUCAUAAAGGAUCAAGAGAGGAAUUGGUUUUACGACCACAACUUUGGAAACUAAAAGAAAAUGGAGGAAUGUCUUCAAAAUUAUGAAGAAAAGUGCUUUCCAAUUUAGAUUUCUAUACCCUGAAAAACAACUUAGUGAAUUAGAGUAUUAACAGAAUUUAAUAUCUCCCAAAAUAUAUUUGCCUACACCAUUUCUCACAAAGUUUCUGGAGGAUGUAUUCCACUAAAACAAUAAAGGCAACAGAGAAAGGAAAAGCAUGGGAUCCAAAAUGGGAGACAAAAGACAGAGAAAGGUAAAAGAAAUUCCCAGGAUUAUGGUGAAAGAAGAUCCCCAGUGCAAGACCAGACCAAGAAAGUAGCAGUCUAAAGGGGAGCAGUAGGAAGGGGAGCUCUAGAAUAAAAAUAUAAACUAUAUAUAUUUGCAUAUGUCAAAAGAGUUUUCUUUUAAUAUAUUUGCAUAUAUCAAAAGAUUUCAAAUACAGAGUUUGGGGAUGAACUGGUGAUCAAUUCAUAGAUAAGAACAAAAUAGGUAUAAAAAAUGAGGUAAUCAUUAACUUUAUGAGGGAAAAGUGUACUAGGCACAAAAGGUAAUAUUUGAUGUGCUCCUAUAAUCAUGUUGGUAAUUUAUCUGGUAAAAACGGGGUGAUAUAGAAUUUGUUUGGUAGAGGGUAAAUGUAUGUGUGUGUGUGUGUGAGAGAGAGUGAGUGAGAGAGAGACAGAAAGACAGACAGCGGCAUAUAAGAGAGUCACUUUUUAUUGUAGGUUAUCAAUGGGUAAUACCUAAAGACUGGUAUAUUAGGAGAAAGAGCUAAAGGAAUUG